AUGAAUGGCUUUCUCCUUGUUCAUUGCAGCGUCGGAAUGGGGAACAUUCUGAAUCUCGUGCUUGGAAUGAUUACUACACUGGAACGCCACGUCGGGAAGCGACACCGCCAAGGCAGAAUAGCAGAUGAAGCAUUCGAACCGUGCCGCGUUAUGGUUCUCAGGGCUAUAUCAUACCAGGCUGGAUGUAAGGCAGUCCAUCAAAAGAGGAUUGCAGACGGCCGAUUCGAACUAUUGAGCAUUCUGAUUUGCAGAGCAAUGUCACUGCACAUUCGUCUCGGAUCGGUCUGUGACAAGGGGAUGCAAAAUGAUCAACUUAGACUGUGCUGCAGUGUUCUGGCUUGUGGAGUUAUAUCUGACUACAUCAUCUGUCACGAGUUAUUAAACUCUGAAAAGGGGAUAUCAAGUGAUCCGUUCGAGAGCCUUCCAGAGGACGUGCUAUGCACGUUAUCAAAGUUGCCUCUGGAUGAGGCUGUAAGGACCAGUGCGGUAUCAAGGAAGUGGAGAUUCUUGUGGACAGUUUGUCCAAACCUGAGUUUUGAAGGAAUUACAAUGUGCGGCAAGAACCGUGCUUCUGGGGAAAAGCUAUAUGUUCAGAAGUUCAUCGAUAAUGUUAAUGCUGUCUUGGCACAGUGCCGUGGCCGGGUUGUUGACGAGCUUGCGAUCGAAUUUGAUUUUGACACCAUGCUGGUUGACCAUCUCAAUAACUGGGCUCGCUUUGUGGUAUCCUCAUCACAGAUAAAGUUCCUAACUUUUGAUUUGGCACCAGAACGUUUUGGAGGCCUUUAUGAUCGGUACUUGUUUCCGUUCCAACUUUUGGACAGUGGAAGUAUAUCCCGUCUACAGAAAAUCCAUCUUAGCUUUGGGUAUCUCCGGCCACCAACCGGGUUCAGUGGUUUCCCUAACCUACGGAAGCUUGAUCUGAACUUAGUGAAUGUCGGCGGAAAAGAUCUUCAAGACAUGUUGUCAAAUUGCUCUAACCUGGAGUGGUUAAGUAUUGUUAGAUGUCAUCUCUAUGAUGAACUAGAGGUUAAUGGUCCGCUGCCUCGCCUGCUACACUUGCAUUUUUCAUUCUGCGAGAUAACGAAGAUUGCAUUGCAUGCUGUGAAACUCAGAAAUUUUGUAUACAAGGGGAAGCCGGUAUGUAUCGACCUUGGUAAAUCUUAA
rnacentral:rRNA from 1 species